rnacentral:rRNA from 1 species
UGGGGAAUUUUGGACAAUGGGGGAAACCCUGAUCCAGCCAUCCCGCGUGUGCGAUGAAGGCCUUCGGGUUGUAAAGCACUUUUGGCAGGAAAGAAACGUCAUGGGUUAAUACCCCGUGAAACUGACGGUACCUGCAGAAUAAGCACCGGCUAACUACGUGCCAGCAGCCGCGGUAAUACGUAGGGUGCAAGCGUUAAUCGGAAUUACUGGGCGUAAAGCGUGCGCAGGCGGUUCGGAAAGAAAGAUGUGAAAUCCCAGAGCUCAACUUUGGAACUGCAUUUUUAACUACCGGGCUAGGGGGUGUCAGAGGGGGGUGGAAUUCCGCGUGUAGCAGUGAAAUGCGUAGAUAUGCGGAGGAAAACCGAUGGCGAAGGCAGCCUCCUGGGAUAACACUGACGCUCAUGCACGAAAGCGUGGGGAGCAAACAGG